rnacentral:rRNA from 1 species
AUUGAACGCUGGCGGCAGGCCUAACACAUGCAAGUCGAACGAGUGGCGGACGGGUGAGUAAUGUCUGGAAAUGUGUGUGAUGGAGGGGGAACAACUAUGGAAACGGUAGACUAUAGCGAAUUACCUGGGAUGCGCCUGGAUUGGAGUAGCAAGUAGGUGGGGUAGAGGCACAACUAGGAGGCGAUCCCUAGCUGGUCUGAGGGGAUGACCAGCCACACUGGAACUGAGACACGGUCCAGACUCCUACGGGAGGCAGCAGUGGGGAAUAUUGCACAAUGGGCGAAAGCCUGAUGCAGCCAUGCCGCGUGUAUGAAGAAGGCCUUCGGGUUGUAAAGUACUUUCAGCGGGGAGGCGUUACCCGCAGAAGAAGCACCGGCUAACUCCGUGCCAGCAGCCGCGGUAAUUC